rnacentral:lncRNA from 1 species
AUUCUGGAUGAUUUUGGCAAUAACAAUUUAUGUGGCACAAAUGGCAUUUAGUAUCGCUCAUAUUUCCUUAAUGACUUGUACCUUUUACGAUAAACAUGGUGUCACGUGGAUGGGAAUAUGCAUGGAAGUGAUAUGCAGAUGAGGUUAUGCAUAGUAAAACGAGGACUAUGUAAGCUCCAUAUAUAGUAAUUUUGGCGAGGAAACAGGGUGGAGCUGCACAUACGCACAAUCAUUCCCUGACUGGGAUUUAUAAAGGGAUUUUUUGUGCAGGUUUAAUGGUUUUAUAAAUCUGAAAACUUUUGUGCGUACGCCUGCACAUACGCACAAUCAUUCCCUAGACUGGGAUUUAUAAAGGGAUUUUUGUGCAGGUUAAUGGUUUUAUAAAUCUGAAAACUUUUGUGCGUACGCAAAAUAUAGCUUUUGUGCAUGCGUACACUUUUAGGAUGAAAUCUGUGGAGAGUUUUAUACAUGAGGCCCCAGGGGAUUUUAAGCAGGAAGUUUCAGUGUGUUUGAGUGUGAAACUGCAGAGACUCACAGUAACACACAUCUACAGCUCAGAGCACAGAGAACAUUAACACACACCUGAUCUGACCGUCAACAUGGAAAAACACCUGCUUCUCAUUUUAAUUCUGACUUCAGGUGUGAUGACUGCAGACCAGAUUAGGCCAAAUAAAGAUGCUGUUGUCAUAAAGGAAGAUGAGACUGUGUCCCUCAGCUGCUCAUAUGACACAAGCAGCAGAUAUGUUUAUCUGUACUGGUACAGACAGUAUCCUAAUGGACAACCUCAGUAUUUAAUAUUUAGACCUGCCCGAUCAGCGACUACAACUGGGAAACCCGCUGAUCCUCGCUUUGAGUCGACUACAUCAGAAAAAUCUACUGAACUCACUAUUAAGAGUGUAACUCUGUCAGAUUCAGCUCUCUAUUACUGUGCUCUAAGAGCUGGAGCCCAGUGAUACAAAGUCUAUGUGAAGCCGUACAAAAACUCUAAUUCAUUUUUCUCUUUAAUCUCAAGCCACAUCAAACCCACAAUCUAAAAUUCACACAAUUUAAUUACACUUGUGGAAACACCUGUGUGUGAUUACUGAAAGGGUAAUGAAAAUGAAACAAUAUAUAGCAGAAUACUUCUUGAAUUAUUAUAAUUAUAAUUUUAUAAUUUAUAAUCAUAAUUUAAUAUCUCCUCUGCAAAAUCUCUUGUAUGAAGUCUCAAAGUUUUCCUCUCAAAGUCAAACUCUUCAUAUAGUGCAAUUUAACGUCCAAUAAAUGUCACUAUACUUCUUUAUUAUAAUAUUAAAUUGAUUCUGACCUUAGUUACACUGUUUGUGAAUUAUCAAAAAUGUGAUUAAAUUUCAUUUGAAUAGUCCAGAUCAGCAAAAUAUAUUCAAACUCACCACAAGGAGGCAUCAUUCCUCAAAUUCUUAUAUAAAGCUAAACCUUAUGAAGAAUCUCAAACUACACAGAGAAACAGAGACUAUACAGUAAGAAUAAAAAACUUAUGGAAAAUUCUGUUAAAAUAUUCUCCCUCUUCAUCUUUAAGUGAGAAUGGCAAAAUGGGUGAUUAUUACACUUUUCUUCACCACUUUUGAGUUUGGUAAGAACAUUAUUUCAUCAUUUACAGUUUACUAUCUGUGUGAGAUACUCAAUGUAAGCACUUGAAUAAUGGCUACAUCUAUUUUCCAGAGUGCUGGGGACAAGACAAAG